UACAGAGGUCCCAAGCGUUGUUCGGAUUCACUGGGCGUAAAGGGUGCGUAGGCGGUUGGGUAAGUCUGAUGUGAAAUCUCACAGCUUAACUGUGAAACUGCAUUGGAUACUAUCCGGCUAGAGGAAUGGAGGGGAGACUGGAAUACUUGGUGUAGCAGUGAAAUGCGUAGAUAUCAAGUGGAACACCAGUGGCGAAGGCGAGUCUCUGGACAUUUCCUGACGCUGAAGCACGAAAGCCAGGGGAGCAAACGGG
rnacentral:rRNA from 1 species